AUGAGAGAGAUGGAAGGUGAGGAGUUUGUAGAGAGUGGGAAGAGGAAGCUCGAUGUGACUGCAAGGCUUAAAGGUUGUCAGCUCUGUUGUAGGUUUAUGCAUAGCAGGUUUGAAGCAUGGAGAAGAAUGAUCACUACUACAAAACACGGAAAUAACAACGCCCAAGUCACCACGGUUCUUCCAAACACCGUGAUUUUGAAGUGUUGA